UGCAAGCGUUAAUCGGAAUUACUGGGCGUAAAGCGCACGCAGGCGGUUUGUUAAGUCAGAUGUGGAAUCCCCGCGCUUAACGUGGGAACUGCAUUUGAAACUGGCAAGCUAGAGUCUUGUAGAGGGGGGUAGAAUUCCAGGUGUAGCGGUGAAAUGCGUAGAGAUCUGGAGGAAUACCGGUGGCGAAGGCGGCCACCUGGACAAAGACUGACGCUCAGGUGCUAAAGCGUGGGGAGCAAACAGGAUUAGAUACCCUGGUAGUCCACGCUGUAAACGAUGACGACUUGGAGGUUGUGCCCUUGAGGCGUGGCUUCCGGAGCUAACGCGUUAAGUCGACCGCCUGGGGAGUACGGCCACAAGGUUAAAACUCAAAUGAAUUGACGGGGGCCCGCACAAGCGGUGAGCAUGUGGUUUAAUUCGAUGCAACGCGAAGAACCUUACCUACUCUUGACAUCCACGGAAUUCGCCAGAGAUGGCUUAGUGCCUUCGGGAACCGUGAGACAGGUGCUGCAUGGCUGUCGUCAGCUCGUGUUGUGAAAUGUUGGGUUAAGUCCCGCAACGAGCGCAACCCUUAUCCUUUGUUGCCAGCACGUAAUGGUGGGAACUCAAAGGAGACUGCCGGUGAUAAACCGGAGGAAGGUGGGGAUGACGUCAAGUCAUCAUGGCCCUUACGAGUAGGGCUACACACGUGCUACAAUGGCAUAUACAAAGAGAAGCGAACUCGCGAGAGCAAGCGGACCUCAUAAAGUAUGUCGUAGUCCGGAUUGGAGUCUGCAACUCGACUCCAUGAAGUCGGAAUCGCUAGUAAUCGUAGAUCAGAAUGCUACGGUGAAUACGUUCCCGGGCCUUGUACACACCGCCCGUCACACCAUGGGAGUGGGUUGCAAAAGAAGUAGGUAGCUUAACCUUCGGGAGGGCGCUUACCACUUUGUGAUUCAUGACUGGGGUGAAGUCGUAA
rnacentral:rRNA from 1 species